AGUUCACAUCUCCGCGCGACAAGGAGCCGCCCCACAAACGCCACGGAGAUGUUCACAAUAUACGGCGGGAUGUGCUGUGGGGUGGCUCAUUGUGGGACGGAGAUGUGAUCUCGCGGCGGAUCUGCACUCAUCUCCGGGUAAGGGUAAACGAAGGAACCCACUAUUCACCCUCGACCAAAUAGAGCGGCGGCUGGGAAGAGAAUCGGCGGAUCUAAACCCAUCUCCGCUCUCUCUCUCCCGCUCUCUCUCCCAGAUCCUCUUCUUCUCUCUUCUCCUUCUUCUUCCCCUCUUCCCCCGUUGUCUCUCUCGUUCCGUUUCGUCACCGCCGCCGGUAGAUCUGCCCGUCCCCUCUCGAAUCUCUCUCAGUAUUCUCUCUCUUUCUUCUUUUUCUUCUUCGUUUUUCGUCUCCACUACUCUGUCACCAUCGAACCGGAAAUGACGAGAGCGGCGGCGGCGUACCAGACUACCAGUGGUAGUCUCCUCCAUUCCUGCCCAUUCUCUCCUUUUUCCCUCACGUUCUCUCUCUCUUUUUUUUUUCAUCCUGACCGUCCCCUAUUUUCUACCAAACUGUAACCGAACAACCUCCUGCUCGUCUUCUCCUCUCUUGACGCAAUGGUGGGCGGUGGUUAUUAGCGGCGACGGCGGUUCUUCCCUUCCCUAUUUCCCAUCGCCAAUCGAGCAGAAGAUGACAGAUGAUGAAUAACAAACUCCCCGUUUGAUGUCUUAGUCCGGUUAGCCGUCGAGCAACACCGUCAUCUUUCAAGGAAAGUUUCACCUAGUGUCGGCUAUCCCCUGUUGAUAGAAUCGGUUCUUUACGUCUCCCCACUGAACUUUGCCAAACAUCAUCGGAAUUAUCGCCUCCAAUCACUAUUGUCGUCUCAAGGUCCAACGAUUGUUUCUUCUUGUCAUCCUUCCCAUUUGCUACAAUCGAUCUCAGUCUAAGGCCAAAAUCCAAUCAGUGGGAUCCUGCUGUUAACAUGGAUAGAUUGUUUGACUCCUCUAUAGUAGAUGCUUGAAGGAGGUGGAUGUUAAUUGGAGCUUUAGGAAUGAAAUAAUGUGCUUCAAAUUGUACUCAAAGGAUAUGCAGAUUGAAAUUAAAUGGGUUCAAAUAUCAGUUAAUGGCUUGGCUUAUUGCCUGGCUAACUAGGGAUUUAAUACACAACUACUUUUUUUUUGAAUUUAGUGUAAUGUAAAAUGUAUUGGUAGGUGGGAUAGUUGAGGGUGUCAGUAUAUCUCAUUGUUUGUAGUCACAACCUCUUGUAGUACCUUGUUUGUAGUCACAACCUCUUGUAUAUCUCCUUGUUUACUGUUUUUGGAAUUUCUCAAAGGUUUAUAUGUAGCUGUUGUAGUUUAAUGUCUGGAAGCCAAGGAGCCAUCUGCACUUGGUUUAGACACCUAUUAGAGGCGAUAUUAUUUCUGCUUGGCUGACGCUGCAGCUACAAUCAA